CCCUGGAGACCGCCGGCGGCGGAUAGCCGCGAAAUCCCGAGGUGGUUAACCGGGUCUCAUGGCGGCGGCGAGGAGAGGGAGCGCUAGCCUGGGGUGCGCGAGCCCGGCGCAGCCCGCUGGGAGCACAGGGGCGCGGGCGCGAGCGCGCGGAUGGAGGAUGCGUGGCCGGCCGGCUCGGAGCCGAGGCGGAAGCGGCCGAGGUGCGGGGGCGGCCCCGGGUGACGCUGCGGCCCUUCGAGCCCUUCUCGCCCUUCUCCAGGGCGGCGGCGACUGGAGCUUCAUCUGCUGCGAGAAAGAGGAGGUGGACCUACAGGACCUGCUCAGCGCCACCAUCGCCUGCCACCUGGACCCCCGCGUGUUCCUGGACGGCCUGUGCCGGCUUUACAGCAGCCAGCUCCUUUUUCUGAUGAAAUUGAAGUUGACUUUAGUAAGCCCUAUGUCAGGGUAACUAUGGAAGAAGCCAGCAAAGGAACACCUUGUUGCCAGAACUACUAACUUCUACCAAUUGAAGGACAGGGUUGCUGAAACCAGUGAAAUCUGUUUUCAAGGCCUAUGUCGGAAUUGUAUGCUGGAUGUGAAGGUACAUACUUGUAAUUCCACUGACGGGAGAUUGAGGCAAGAAGAUUUCAGGUUACAGUGUUGUUGUAAAGAUUCCCACAGGAGCAACAAACAUUGAAAUUCUUCUGCACAGCUAUUCUGGAAAACCAGAAGAUGACAAUCACCUCGGUAAACAUUUUUGCCCUAUCUGAUGCCCAAGGGAAUUUUCUUUUAAAUGGAGGUUUUGUUGUGAGUAUGUUAAAAGAAGAAAUAAACAUACAAGGAGCUCUUUUUGAAUACAGUGUAUCAAACAACUCAAUUGAAAGAAUUAACAGUACUGAUCGAUUGGAAGAAGAACUUGUUUUACAGGUGGCUAUGUAUGGGUAAUUUAUACAACCCUGAUGUACGAUAUUCCUUCCAUGUCCCUGUGGAGGAUACAAGUGACCUGUUCACAUGGGAGCACAUGGACCAUGACAAGACUGUACCAAAAUGUGUCAAGUGUCUUGUUACAUAUGGAAAAGGAUCAAAGCAGCAGCAGGUUUGUUGUCAACUGAAUGAAGAUCACUUGAGUGAUGGCUUUUGUAAUCCAAGUACCAAACCUGAAUCUCUAAGACCCUGUGAGCUUCAUGCACGUGCUGCUUGGAAAGUAGGAUCAUGGAGUGCACAGCUACCUGUGGCCUUGGGUAUCAGAUAUGUGCUGUUAAAUGUGUCAACAAACUCGUUAGUGCAGUAUUAGAUGACAGAGAAUGUCAAGGGGCCAUCGCCCAGGUGAUAGGACUGUAUGGUUACUCCCUGCCCAUAUAUCCCUAAUAUUGGUGCUACUUCCUUACCAGCUGUUCCCAUGGGAAAAGCAGCACAGUGGAGACAU